rnacentral:rRNA from 1 species
UGAGGAAUAUUGCGCAAUGGGGGAAACCCUGACGCAGCGACGCCGCGUGAGUGAGGAAGGCCUUCGGGUCGUAAAGCUCUGUCAGAUGGGAAGAAGUGUUAUAUGGUUAAUACCCUUAUAAUUUGACGGUACCAUCAAAGGAAGCACCGGCUAACUCCGUGCCAGCAGCCGCGGUAAUACGGAGGGUGCAAGUGUUGUUCGGAAUCACUGGGCGUAAAGGGCGCGCAGGCGGUCUGUUAAGUCAGAUGUGAAAGCCCACGGCUUAACCGUGGAAGUGCAUUUGAAACUGGCGGACUUGAGUAUCAGAGGGGAAAGUGGAAUUCCCGGUGUAGAGGUGAAAUUCGUAGAUAUCGGGAGGAAUACCGGUGGCGAAGGCGACUUUCUGGCUGAAUACUGACGCUGAGGCGCGAAAGCGUGGGGAGCAAACAGGAUUAGAUACCCUGGUAGUCCACGCCGUAAACGAUGUGAACUAGAUGUAGGAGGUAUUGAUCCCUUCUGUGUCGCAGCUAACGCAUUAAGUUCACCGCCUGGGGG